CGCGACCUAUGCAAACGGUAGUCGGUCCACUAGACGCUCCGUAACACUAGUUUCUAGUUUAGGCAGAGAAGGGCAACCCGGCCGGAGGAAUCUUCAUGGGACGUUCACUAUCAUCUCCAGCUCAAGCUAGUGGCGGAGGGACACCCGAAGGUUGCCCUCGGCUUUAACCAAACCAAAAUGGUUAGCAUAUCGUGGUAUAAUAUAAAUCAAGACAUCUUCAUUCGUGAAACAAUCUUCAAGGAUCGAGUUAAUAAAUCGCAGUGUUCUAUGUAAAAUUAUCUAUCGAACAUCUGAUGUGACAAGAGUUUUAAUAAAUUCCAUUCGAUUUGAAUUUUCAAUCGAUAUAACACAGAACAAAAGGAUGAUCUAUAAUCGAUUAUGUCAAUCAAGAUAAAAUAUUUAUCGAUUAUCGAUUAUAUCUAUGAUUGCUUAUUUCAAAUAUUUACUUAAUAAAAAAAUAAAAAGAAAAAACGAUGACAUGUAUUAUUUAAAAUAUAAUAUGUGAAAACAACAUUUAUAAA